UCGUAUAACAGAGGUGCUAGGGCUGUCGCUAUCUUUGUGCACGCCCGAGCGCUUUCAAUCCAUUUCACCCUUUGUGCAUCACCGCGUGGGUGCUCUCCUUUUUGAAAAGGGAGCAUUUGCGCUUUUACACAGACCCACCGCAUGUCUAGAAUGUCUUAGUAUUUGCGAUAAUAUGCAAUCAAUA
rnacentral:misc_RNA from 1 species